AACAAAGAUGCAGAGAGAGAGAGAGAGAGAGAGAGAGAGAGAGAGAGAGAGAGAGAGAGAGAGAGAGAGAGAGAGAGAGAGAGAGACUAAAAUAAGAAACCAGAAGAAACAAGGAAGAGUGUCUGGAAUAUGGAGAAAGGAAGAGAGCGGGGAAGUUGAAAGCAUCAGAAAGGGAAAUGAAUAAGAAUGCAAAGAAUAGGAGACAAGACUUAUGGGGAGAAAGACGAGAAUACAGAUGCUGAUUACUAUGGGGAGAGAGGUAGAGGGGAGGAGUUCAUAAGGAAGGAAGGGGAGAAAGCUUGAGGUACAGUACAUCUAGACGUGAGAGGAAUGAAAGAGAGGAGGAACAAAGGGAUAUGGAAGGGGAAUAACGACGAGAGAAGGGGAGUAGACCGUUGUGUAGGGGAGAGGAAAAGGGCAAAGAACACGUCAUUAGGAUGCAGGUAGAGCCGUCGUAGGAUAAGGGGAAGGGUGGAAGACAUAGUAGUGAAUGGCAAGGGAGGAAAUAUGAACCAGGCGGGAGCGAUGGAGGAGAGAAAAAUGAGAUGGUAUAUGAAGGAACAUGCGACAUAGAAAGAGUGAAGAGAGAUAAUAGAAUAAGAUGAAACGAAAGGAAUUCAAGGCAUAAAGGAAGGAAGGAAAAGAAGGAAACAAAGUGAGAGGAAAAGGGUGAAAAUAAAGAGGAAAAUGAGACAAUGGAGAUAUGAAGGAACUUGACGUAUAAAGAGUGAAGAGAAUAAACAGUGAAAUGAAACUAAAGGAAUCGAACACAUAAAGGAAGGAAGGAAUAGAAGGAAACAAAAUGAAAGGAAAAAGGUGAAAAUAAAAAGAGGAAAAUGAGAUAACGGGAGAUAGAAAGGAACAUACGACAUGUAAAGAGUGAAGAAAAUAAAGAAUAAGAUUUAACUAAAGGAAUUGAACACAUAAAGGAAGGAAGGAAAAGAAGGAAACAAAAUGAAAGGAAAAAGGUGAAAAUAAAAGGAAGAAAAUGAGAUAACGGGAGAUAGAAAGUAACAUACGACAUAAUAAAGAGGGAAGAAAAUAAAGAGUAAAGAUGAAACCAAAGGAGAACACAUAAAGGAAGGAGGAAAAGGUGGAAAACAAGAGACCAAAAAAAAAAAAAAGGAAAGAAAAUGAGAUGAUGAAGAUGGAAAGGGUCAGACCACAGAAAAAGGGAAGAGAAAAAAAAAGUAUAAAAUGAAACUAAAUAAGUAGAACACAAAGCAUAUACCUGAAGGAAGCUUAAAAUAUAUAGAAAGGAACAAGAAAAGAGGAGAAAGAAGAGACAAAAAAAAAAAACGCGGGAAAGAGAAAGUAAGAAAAAAAAGAGCAGAUAAGAUGCCAAUAAAGAGAAGGGAGUGAGACCCGAAAGAAGAGAGAGAGAGAGAGAGAGAGAGAGAGAGAGAGAGAGAGAGAGAGAGAGAGAGAGGAGGGGGGGGGGGUGG